GACGAACGCUGGCGGCGUGCUUAACACAUGCAAGUCGAACGGAAAGGCCCUGCUUUUGUGGGGUGCUCGAGUGGCGAACGGGUGAGUAACACGUGAGUAACCUGCCCUUGACUUUGGGAUAACUUCAGGAAACUGGGGCUAAUACCGGAUAGGAGCUCCUGCUGCAUGGUGGGGGUUGGAAAGUUUCGGCGGUUGGGGCUGGACUCGCGGCUUAUCAGCUUGUUGGUGGGGUAGUGGCUUCCCAAGGCUUUGAAGGGUAGCCGGCCUGAGAGGGUGACCGGCCACAUUGGGCCUGAGGUACGGCCCAGACUCCUACGGGAGGCAGCAGUGGGGAAUAUUGCAGAAUGGGCGGAAGCCUGAUGCAGCAACGCCGCGUGCGGGAUGACGGCCUUCGGGUUGUAAACCGCUUUCGCCUGUGCCGAAGCGUGAGUGACGGUAAUGGGUAAAGAAGCACCGGCUAACUACGUG
rnacentral:rRNA from 1 species